GAUGAACGCUGGCGGCGUGCCUAAUACAUGCAAGUCGAGCGAACGGACGAGAAGCUUGCUUCUCUGAUGUUAGCGGCGGACGGGUGAGUAACACGUGGAUAACCUACCUAUAAGACUGGGAUAACUUCGGGAAACCGGAGCUAAUACCGGAUAAUAUUUUGAACCGCAUGGUUCAAAAGUGAAAGACGGUCCUGCUGUCACUUAUAGAUGGAUCUGCGCUGCAUUAGCUAGUUGGUAAGGUAACGGCUUACCAAGGCAACGAUGCAUAGCCGACCUGAGAGGGUGAUCGGCCACACUGGAACUGAGACACGGUCCAGACUCCUACGGGAGGCAGCAGUAGGGAAUCUUCCGCAAUGGGCGAAAGCCUGACGGAGCAACGCCGCGUGAGUGAUGAAGGUCUUCGGAUCGUAAAACUCUGUUAUUAGGGAAGAACAUAUGUGUAAGUAACUGUGCACAUCUUGACGGUACCUAAUCAGAAAGCCACGGCUAACUACGU
rnacentral:rRNA from 1 species